rnacentral:rRNA from 1 species
UCAGAACGAACGCUGGCGGCGUGCUUAACACAUGCAAGUCGAGCGAGAAAGCCACCUUCGGGUGGUGAUUAGAGCGGCGAACGGGUGAGUAACACGUGAGUAACGUGCCCUUCAGUGGGGGAUAACCAUUCGAAAGGAUGGCUAAUACCGCAUGAGACCACAACGCCUCCGGGCGAAGAGGUCAAAGCUUUAUGCGCUGAAGGAUCGGCUCGCGGCCCAUUAGGUAGUUGGUGAGGUAACGGCUCACCAAGCCUGAGAUGGGUAGCUGGUCUGAGAGGAUGACCAGUCACACUGGGACUGAGACACGGCCCAGACUUCUACGGAAGGCAGCAGUGGGGAAUCUUGCGCAAUGGAGGAAACUCUGACGCAGCAACGCCGCGUGUGUGAUGAAGGCCUGUGGGUCGUAAAGCACUGUCAGGAGGGAAGAA